CAGUCGCCACGGGAAUACGAAGGGUGCAAGCGUUAAUCGGAAUUACUGGGCGUAAAGCGUGCGUAGGCGGUGAGUUAAGUCUGCUGUGAAAUCCCCGGGCUCAACCUGGGAAUGGCAAUGGAUACUGGCAAGCUAGAGUGUGUCAGAGGAUGGUGGAAUUCCCGGUGUAGCGGUGAAAUGCGUAGAGAUCGGGAGGAACACCAGUGGCGAAGGCGGCUCACUGGUCCAUUACUGACGCUGAGGUGCGAAAGCGUGGGGAGCAAACAGGAUUAGAUACCCCCGUAGUCCCUGUCUCUUAUAC
rnacentral:rRNA from 1 species